CAAUAGCGUAUAUUUAAGUUGUUGCAGUUAAAAAGCUCGUAGUUGGAUUUUGGGUCGGGGGCACCGGUCCGCCGUUCCGGUGUGCACUGGUGGCCCCUUCCUUUCUGCCGGGGACGUGCGACGCACUUAAUUGGGUGGCGUUCGGAGUCGGCGUUGUUACUUUGAAAAAAUUAGAGUGUUCAAAGCAAGCCAUCGCUCUGAAUACAUUAGCAUGGAAUAACAUGAUAGGACUCCGGUCUUAUUUUGUUGGUUUCCGAGACUGGAGUAAUGAUUAAGAGGGACAGUCGGGGGCAUCCGUAUUUCAUUGUCAGAGGUGAAAUUCUUGGAUUUAUGAAAGACGAACUUCUGCGAAAGCAUUUGCCAAGGAUGUUUUCAUUAA
rnacentral:rRNA from 1 species